rnacentral:misc_RNA from 1 species
GUCCUUCAACAAUCCUACAAAGCUGUAAAACAAAGCAUAUAAACAGCAUAUAUUGGUUGGUAGAUUGUCCACUUAUAUAGCCAAUAAAAACAAAGAAAUCUACUAUCAUUGAAAAAGAUAACCUCCAUUGGCAAGUAAAUGGGAUUUGAAUCACUCCUAGCUUGGAGUUGAAGUGCAGGCAAGGAUGUAUAACUGAGCUCAAUAUUGUAUCUCUCACGGAAAUAUUGAACCACGGACAUAUUUGUAUUGUUAUCAUCGAGAUUGAAGAAUAUUUGAUUCAGUGGCUGAUCGGAUACACCAGUGAUCCUAUGACACUCGGCAUUCUCCCUGUGACUUAGCUCCACUCUUAAUCCUUUUAAGCCCUCUUUUAUCUUAAUAUGUUCUUGUUCUGAUAGAGGCCUUGACAUGUCUUUUAAGCUAAAGUAUUUGGCUACAAAUUCAGUCACCAUAAUUGGCUCAAAG